GGGCGCCGGGGCCGCGGCAGGCCGUCGGGCGCGCGCUCCGGGAGGGAGGGCGCGCUCCGGGAGAGGGCGCGCGACCCCCGGGGUCGCCCCGCCCGCGGCGCAGAGCCUCUGGGGCGAGGGUAGGCGCCCUGCAGCGCAGAGAGGGGCUGCCCCUGGACAAGCCGGGAGUUCUUGUUCUUCCCAUGGCGAAACGGCCUCUUUUGCCGCGGUAGUUGUUUCCAGUCCCGGCAAAGCAGGUCCUGUCCGGCUGGAUACUGUGACUGUGCAGUCUACCAACAGCGAGAAUCAGUUCAAGCAGGGAGAAAGUUGUUCGGAGAAGGGGCGAGGAGUCCGGGGCUCCGCGCGGGGGACCCAGGAACCAGGUGUCCGCGCUUGGGCGGCAGCGAGGCUGCGUGGCGGUUGCGGCAAGAACCACUGCUCACUCGGCCCCGGAUCGGGCCGGCUUGGACUGGGCUGCCCUGCAUAGGGGGGAACCUUCCCGCACAACUAAGUUGCCAUUCGGUCUUUGGAGGAGGGGGCUUGGGAUGGGAAUUUCGCACCCCUUUGCCUCUUCCCGCUCCUACCCUCGCCGACGCAUUUACUUUAUUUAGAGCCCCUACCUUCUCAGUCGUUUAAAUGUUACUGUUUUUAUUAGUGACAUACCUGUGAGUCACCUUUUAAAAUAUGAAGUACCUAUGCAAAUUUGAAUUAUAUGGUAAAAACACAUCACCUUUACAAUGAAAACAGCUUCUUUUAAGGCAACGAAAUAACAAUUGACUAUAAUGCUAAAUGUAUCCGCUGAAAAAAGCCUACUUGCACAUGAGAAUUACACGUUUUUCUGCAACAUUUAUAUGUAGCGACUUGGAAACUUCUGGAAAUCUAGAAGAUUCUGACGAGGAGACAAAUUUCUGAUACUUAAAGACUCCAUGGUUCUGUGGGUGGAGAAAUAAAAACUCUAAGUUCUGAUAAGAUGUUUUAGAAUUCAACUAAAACAAUAAAAUAUUAAGAGUAAAAUAGGGAAGUAAGAAAGAGGAAGAGAAACAAAGAAAGGAAAUAAUUUACAGCAAUCUCAGAAAUUUAAUUCCAAAUUGCCAGAAGGAGUGUCCACUGACUUUAGAGUGGUGCAGUGUGAAUGGAAGUGAUGUGACACUUUUGGGUAGAAGCUGGAAGAGUCAACGUGCUGCUCACCAGUUUCCCGUCCCACCCUCGAGUAGCUAUGGAAGUUUGUAUCAACCUAGAGCUUCAUCAGUCUGGAUAGGUGAGUAACUGAUGAGCAGAGCUCCCCUAUUUUCCUCUUUGGGGCAUGCAGCAUGACCAAAGAAAGGAAGCUUUCUGGGGAGGGUAAGUUCUGAGAUUUUGGAAUUGUUGCUGUUGCAUAACAAGCCUAUUGACACUGAUAGAGCAAG
rnacentral:lncRNA from 1 species